rnacentral:rRNA from 1 species
AUUGAACGCUGGCGGCGUGCUUAACACAUGCAAGUCGAUCGGUAACAGGUGUAGCAAUACAUGCUGACGAGAGGCGGACGGGUGAGUAAUGCUUGGGAAUCUGCCUAUUAGUGGGGGACAACCCGGGGAAACUCGGGCUAAUACCGCAUACGCUCUACGGAGGAAAGCCGGGGACCGCAAGGCCUGGCGCUAAUAGAUGAGCCCAAGUCGGAUUAGCUAGUUGGUAGGGUAACGGCCUACCAAGGCGACAAUCCGUAGCUGGUCUGAGAGGACGACCAGCCACACCGGAACUGAGACACGGUCCGGACUCCUACGGGAGGCAGCAGUGGGGAAUAUUGGACAAUGGGGGCAACCCUGAUCCAGCGACGCCGCGUGGGUGAAGAAGGCCUGCGGGUUGUAAAGCCCUUUCGGUGGGAAGAAAGUCUCGACCUAAUACGUCGGGACCUUGACGUAACCCACUAAAGAAGCACCGGCUAA